GCAAGUCGAACGAAGAAAGCACUUCGGUGUUAUUAAGAGUGGCGCACGGGUGAGUAACGCGUGGAUAAUCUGCCCUCGAGUGGGGAACAACUUACCGAAAGGUAGGCUAAUACCGCAUAAGACCACAGAAGCUGAGGCUUCAGGGGUCAAAGAUUUAUCGCUUGAGGAUGAGUCCGCGUAGGAUUAGCUUGUUGGUGAGGUAAAAGCUCACCAAGGCGACGAUCUAUAGCUGGUCUGAGAGGAUGAUC
rnacentral:rRNA from 1 species